AAAGCGGAGGAAAAGAAACCAACAGGGAUUGCCCCAGUAGCGGCGAGUGAAGCGGCAAGAGCUCAGAUUUGAAAUCGUGUUUCGGCACGAGUUGUAGAGUGUAGGCGGGAGUCUCUGUGGAGCGCGGUGUCCAAGUCCCUUGGAACAGGGUGCCUGAGAGGGUGAGAGCCCCGUAGGGUGCUGCGCGAAGCUUUUGAGGCCCUGCUGACGAGUCGAGUUGUUUGGGAAUGCAGCUCCAAGCGGGUGGUAAAUUCCAUCUAAGGCUAAAUAUUGGCGAGAGACCGAUAGCGAACAAGUACUGUGAAGGAAAGAUGAAAAGCACUUUGAAAAGAGAGUGAAACAGCACGUGAAAUUGUUGAAAGGGAAGGGUAUUGGGCUCGACAUGGGGGGUGCGCACCGCUGUCUCUUGUAGGCGGCGCUCUGGGCGCCCUCUGGGCCAGCAUCGGUUCCUGCUGCGGGAGAAGGGGCUCCGGAAAGUGGCUCUUCGGAGUGUUAUAGCCGGGGCCAGAUGCCGCGUGUGGGGACCGAGGACUGCGGCUUCUGUCUCGGAUGCUGGCAUAACGCGCUGAC
rnacentral:rRNA from 1 species